rfam:Coniophora puteana RWD-64-598 SS2 unplaced genomic scaffold CONPTscaffold_20, whole genome shotgun sequence.
GGUUCAAUGGUCUAAUGGUUAUGAUUUCUGUCUCACACUUCGGUGCACAGAAGGUUCUGAGUUCGAUCCUCAGUUGAACCA